CAUUUCUAUUUACAAUUCCUUUUGGCAAGAUUUUCGUUGCAAGUGGGCGUAUAUUUGCAUGCGUUGCAAUUGGCAAUGCACGUCUAGUGACAUGGCUUUUUAACUAGUUUGGGAGCAAGUGUUCUCAUUCACGGGGAAUACCCGAACACAUGUAUUACAAACGGAAAAUUCGGUUGCUUCACGGGUAAACUUUCUUGAGUUACUAGGUAGAGUCCGAAUAUUGCGGCGGAGACACAUUACGCUGGCUAUUAAUUUGUCUGUGGUAUUUAUGUCAUUGAACAAUUUUUUAGUUAGUUAUUUUUGCGUUAAUCAUUUGCAUGCCAUGGAUGUUUGUUUUCCAUUUCCACAAAGGGGCAUAGGUCGUACUAAUUCAAAAUUCUUUUAUACCCUUCGUUUUCCGUAUGUUAAUUCAAAAAUCGACAACCUAAAAAUUAACAGUUAAACGGAAGAUCGGGACAGCAGGAUCCUGGAUUUCCAUCGCUCAAUUUGCAAGCUGUGCUCGGAGUGGCGAGGACUUCGUCAUACCACACUGCACAAUCCUUAGUAGGACGGCAACGCGUCUCUAAUCCAGCAACAUUUGGACAGUAGUAGGUCGGCUCCUUCACCUCGUAAGUUGGUGGUGGAACUCUCCUGUAAUAUACUGUAUCUUGAACGACAUAUUGAGGACGCAACGAAGGACCAUAGGCGUCGCUGGCGGCGAAAAAUAGGCACACCAGUAGGAUUCCAUUGGUCACCGCGACAUUUUUUUCACGCUAAAAACAGAAAACGCAGUUAACUCACCUAAAAGAAAUACUUUGAGAUUUGAUAAUCUGGACGAUGCGGUUUGGUAGUCACAGGCUCUUCUGACGAAGAAUACCAAUGUCGAUCAAAUAGAAAGUCUCCAAAAAUGGGCAUUGUUACCUUGACGGAAGUUGUUGCGCGCACUUCAAUUUGCAAUUGUUUUUGGCGAGAUAGCCUUCACAAGUAGGGAUCUGUGUGCAAACACACCCAGCAACAGAACUUUUGUCGAAACGAGUAUUAUCGCAAAAAUGUCCUAUCACGGGGAAUACCCAAACGAAUAAAUUGCGCAACGAGGUAAAAUUGUGUUGAGCUUAACAGGUAACUUGCAUUCCCUCGUAACAAGCGAUCUCUUCGCUCCAGAUGUAUGUGGUAUUAGUUACCUGAUGAUUUUA